rnacentral:rRNA from 1 species
AUGUGCCCAGAUGGGAUUAGCUUGUUGGUGAGGUAACGGCUCACCAAGGCGACGAUCCCUAGCUGGUCUGAGAGGAUGACCAGCCACACUGGAACUGAGACACGGUCCAGACUCCUACGGGAGGCAGCAGUGGGGAAUAUUGCACAAUGGGCGCAAGCCUGAUGCAGCCAUGCCGCGUGUAUGAAGAAGGCCUUCGGGUUGUAAAGUACUUUCAGCGGGGAGGAAGGUGUUGCGGUUAAUAACCGCAGCAAUUGACGUUACCCGCAGAAGAAGCACCGGCUAACUCCGUGCCAGCAGCCGCGGUAAUACGGAGGGUGCAAGCGUUAAUCGGAAUUACUGGGCGUAAAGCGCACGCAGGCGGUCUGUCAAGUCGGAUGUGAAAUCCCCGGGCUCAACCUGGGAACUGCAUUCGAAACUGGCAGGCUUGAGUCUUGUAGAGGGGGGUAGAAUUCCAGGUGUAGCGGUGAAAUGCGUAGAGAUCUGGAGGAAUACCGGUGGCGAAGGCGGCCCCCUGGACAAAGACUGACGCUCAGGUGCGAAAGCGUGGGGAGCAAACAGGAUUAGAUACCCUGGUAGUCCACGCCGUAAACGAUGUCUACUUGGAGGUUGUGCCCUUGAGGCGUGGCUUCCGGAGCUAACGCGUUAAGUAGACCGCCUGGGGAGUACGGCCGCAAGGUUAAAACUCAAAUGAAUUGACGGGGGCCCGCACAAGCGGUGGAGCAUGUGGUUUAAUUCGAUGCAACGCGAAGAACCUUACCUGGUCUUGACAUCCACAGAACUUUCCAGAGAUGGAUUGGUGCCUUCGGGAACUGUGAGACAGGUGCUGCAUGGCUGUCGUCAGCUCGUGUUGUGAAAUGUUGGGUUAAGUCCCGCAACGAGCGCAACCCUUAUCCUUUGUUGCCAGCGGUCCGGCCGGGAACUCAAAGGAGACUGCCAGUGAUAAACUGGAGGAAGGUGGGGAUGACGUCAAGUCAUCAUGGCCCUUACGACCAGGGCUACACACGUGCUACAAUGGCGCAUACAAAGAGAAGCGACCUCGCGAGAGCAAGCGGACCUCAUAAAGUGCGUCGUAGUCCGGAUUGGAGUCUGCAACUCGACUCCAUGAAGUCGGAAUCGCUAGUAAUCGUGGAUCAGAAUGCCACGGUGAAUACGUUCCCGGGCCUUGUACACACCGCCCGUCACACCAUGGGAGUGGGUUGCAAAAGAAGUAGGUAGCUUAACCUUCGGGAGGGCGCUUACCACUUUGUGAUUCAUGACUGGGGUGAAGUCGUAACAAGGUAACCGUAGGGGAACCUGC